UACGAGUGCCUCGAGCGUUAUCCGGAAUUAUUGGGCGUAAAGAGCUCGUAGGCGGUUUGUCGCGUCUGCUGUGAAAACGCGAGGCUCAACCUCGCGCCUGCAGUGGGUACGGGCAGACUAGAGUGCGGUAGGGGAGAUUGGAAUUCCUGGUGUAGCGGUGAAAUGCGCAGAUAUCAGGAGGAACACCGGUGGCGAAGGCGGAUCUCUGGGCCUUACCUGACGCUGAGGCGCGAAAGCUAGGGGAGCGAACAGG
rnacentral:rRNA from 1 species